CCCUUAGAUGUUCUGGGCCGCACGCGCGCUACACUGACGGAGCCAACGAGUAUUUUCCUUGUCCGGAAGGACUGGGUAAUCUUGUGAAACUUUGUCGUGCUGGGGAUAGAGCAUUGUAAUUAUUGCUCUUCAACGAGGAAUUCCUAGUAAGCGUGAGUCAUCAGCUCGCGUUGAUUACGUCCCUGCCCUUUGUACACACCGCCCGUCGCUACUACCGAUUGAAUGGCUUAGUGAGCCUUUGGGAUUGACAGCCAACACCGGCAACGGUAGCUGGCCGCCGAAAACUUAUGCAAACUUGGUCAUUUAGAGGAAGUAAAAGUCGUAACA
rnacentral:rRNA from 1 species